UUUCAAUCUGUCACCCAGGCUAGAGCACAGUGGCACAAUCUUGGCUCACUGCAACCUCUGUCUCCAGGAUUCAGAUGAAAAACCCAAGGUCCAGAAAGGGGACGCAAUGGCCAUAGCAGCAGCAGAGCAGGGACUGAAUCCCAAGGCUGAUGACUUUGACUUCGGUGCUCCAGCAUUCGUCUUCCCUGGAUUUCUCAGCUCGCAGGCUCGAUAACUCUCUUCUCUCCCCAGACUUGUUGGCAGGCAAGAGGAAUAACUCAUGUGAGUCAAAAGCAAUUUGCAAACAUAAAUAAUUUUCAAUGCCAGGAGAGGAGACGGUGGGAAGAUGCAUGGAAGGUUGAGAGGAACACAGCCAGCCCCAAGUCUCCCUCGCCCUGCUGGGCACUUCCUCUUUCCACCUCGGCGCUGGUGGGAGAGUCGGAGUGCGCCAUAAACAAGGCAGGAAACGGCUAUCAUGAUGCUCACUUCCGCUCUUCCUAGAAGGGAUUCUGCUCGGCAAUCUCUCCACUCCCCACCCCCUGCCAUGCACAGGAUUUUGUACUCCCAGCUCCUCUGGAGGCUCAGAGGAGGAGAUGGUCCUGCUGCACUGGCCCAGCCUUCCUCUACCUGGCUUGUCUUUUUCCUUGUCCUCAACCCCAAACAGCAAGUAUCCUAACAAAGAAUGGAUAGUACACUAUUAUUUUUGUGACAUUCAUCUCAGUGUCAUAUUCCAAAGGAGCUUGACAUUAAUUGUCCUGUUCCUAAUUUGGACACUGGUUUACGAAAGUGUGGUGACCACUGGAGACUGUUCUCUGACAGUGUAACAGGUAUUCGCCCCUUUCCCCAGGGUACUAAGACUCACGUGGCCCUGACAGCCAGCACAGUCUCUUAGGAGGUUCCGGAGGGUGGCAGUGGGAAUGAGCGUAGAGCCGUGUCAUUUCGGAGGGCUGAGUGCAUUCCACACAUCUUCCCAAAGCCCACCCCAAGAGGCUGUCUAACGCAGGGGGAAACAAUGAGAAACCAGAUACCAUGGAAUUAGCAAAGAAUUUCUCAGAUGAAACAGGAAAGGGAGGAAAUCCAGAGGGGUUUACAUUACACCUGGCUCAGGUUGAAAGGAUUCAGGGCCAGUUGUUGGCAAUAUUAAACUCCAGGCUGCGUUUGAAAGGGUCCUUCACUCGGGCAGCCAAAGAGAGGCGUUCCUGCCAGGAUAGGUUGCAUCGCUGCAGAUCUCCAGCCCUACGUGCAUACACACGUGCACACACACGUGUACACACACGUGCACACACAUGUAUGCACACACAUG
rnacentral:lncRNA from 1 species